rnacentral:sRNA from 1 species
CAAGGGAUUUUAAAAACUUACUGUCCUUCUCGUUCUCCGACCACCAAAU